rnacentral:tRNA from 1 species
GUUUCUGUAGUUAAAGUUUUAAUAACGACAGUUUUUCAGGCUGUAGAUUUCGGAGAGAAGCCGAGCAGAAAUU